AUACGUAGGUGACAAGCGUUAUCCGGAUUUACUGGGCGUAAAGGGCGUGUAGGCGGUCUUGCAGGUCAGAAGUGAAAUUCCUGAGCUCAACUCGGGCGCUGCUUCUGAAACUGCAGGACUUGAGUGCUGGAGGGGAUAGCGGAAUUCCUAGUGGAGCGGUAAAAUGCGCAGAUAUUAGGAAGAACACCGGUGGCGAAGGCGGCUAUCUGGACAGUAACUGACGCUGAGGCGCGAAAGCGUGGGGAGCAAACAGGAUUAGAUACCCUGGCAGUCCACGCCGUAAACGAUGAAUACUAGGUGUAGGGGGUAUCGACUCCCUCUGUGCCGCAGUUAACACAAUAAGUAUUCCGCCUGGGGAGUACGGCCGCAAGGUUGAAACUCAAAUGAAUUGACGGGG
rnacentral:rRNA from 1 species